GACGAACGCUGGCGGCGUGCUUAACACAUGCAAGUCGAACGCUGAGGCUCAGCUUUUGUUGGGUGGAUGAGUGGCGAACGGGUGAGUAACACGUGAGUAACCUGCCCCCUUCUUUGGGAUAACGCCCGGAAACGGGUGCUAAUACUGGAUAUUCACUGGUCUUCGCAUGGGGGUUGGUGGAAAGGGUUUUUCUGGUGGGGGAUGGGCUCGCGGCCUAUCAGCUUGUUGGUGGGGUGAUGGCCUACCAAGGCUUUGACGGGUGGCCGGCCUGAGAGGGUGACCGGUAACAUUGGGACUGAGAUACGGCCCAGACUCCUACGGGAGGCAGCAGUGGGGAAUAUUGCACAAUGGGCGCAAGCCUGAUGCAGCGACGCCGCGUGAGGGAUGGAGGCCUUCGGGUUGUGAACCUCUUUCGCUCAUGGUCAAGCCGCAACAAUGGUUGUGGUGAGGGUAGUGGGUAAAGAAGCGCCGGCUAACUACGUG
rnacentral:rRNA from 1 species